rnacentral:rRNA from 1 species
GAGUUUGAUCUUGGCUCAGAGUGAACGCUGGCGGUAGGCCUGACACAUGCAAGUCGAACGGCAGCACAGUAAGAGCUUUGCUCUUACGGGUGGCGAGUGGCGGACGGGUGAGGAAUACAUCGGAAUCGUACUUUUUCGUGGGGGAUAACGUAGGGAAACUUACGCUAAUACCGCAUACGACCUACGGGUGAAAGCAGGGGAUCUUCGGACCUUGCGCGAUUG